UGUGUCAGCCGCCGCGGUAAUACGUAGGAGGCGAGCGUUGUCCGGAUUUAUUGGGCGUAAAGGGCGCGCAGGCGGCAUAAUAAGUCAGGUGUGAAAUCUCCCGGCUCAACUGGGAGGGUGCAUUUGAUACUGUUAAGCUGGAGUGCAGCAGAGGGAGAUGGAAUUCCCGGUGCAGUGGUGAAAUGCGUAGAUAUCGGGAGGAACACCAGUGGCGAAAGCGGUCUUCUGGGCUGUAACUGACGCUGAGGCGCGAAAGCGUGGGGAGCGAACCGGAUUAGAUACCCGGGUAGUCCACGCCGUAAACGAUGGACACUAGGUGUGGGGGGUAUCGACCCCCUCCGUGCCGUAGCUAACGCAAUAAGUGUCCCGCCUGGGGAGUACGGCCGCAAGGCUAAAACUCAAAGGAAUUGACGGGGGCCCGCACAAGC
rnacentral:rRNA from 1 species